GAGCGCCGUAGCAAUACGGAGCGGCAGACGGGAGAGUAACACGUGGGAACGUGCCCUUUGGUUCGGAACAACCCAGGGAAACUUGGGCUAAUACCGGAUAAGCCCUUACGGGGAAAGAUUUAUCGCCGAAGGAUCGGCCCGCGUCUGAUUAGCUAGUUGGUGGGGUAAUGGCCCACCAAGGCGACGAUCAGUAGCUGGUCUGAGAGGAUGAUCAGCCUCACUGGGACUGAGACACGGCCCAGACUCCUACGGGAGGCAGCAGUGGGGAAUAUUGGACAAUGGGCGCAAGCCUGAUCCAGCCAUGCCGCGUGGGUGAUGAAGGCCCUAGGGUUGUAAAGCCCUUUCGGCGGGGAAGAUAAUGAC
rnacentral:rRNA from 1 species